GUGCUGGGUCUACACAAACAAAUCACUUCACCCCUCAGCUGAAACCAAAGGAAGAAUGGCAUUACUGAAUUGCAGCUGAUCUGUUGCCCUUGGUGAGCGUACGUGGUAAAAUUCCUUUGGGUUUAGUGGGAGUGCUUUGGGUACAGCUGUGCUGUGCUCCAGUUUAAUGUUUCCCAGCCUCAGACAGCUCUCACUGCUCUUCUGCUUCCCCUGUUAGGAAGACUUUGGAGACCUCACUAAGCAGAGAUGCACUCUUUUUUUGAGCACCUGUAGCAUCUGAAGAUGUCAGCCCAAGGGCUCCUUGCUGAGCUUGGGACAAGACCACACACCUCAGCCCCAUGUCUGGAACAGAAGGAGCUGCCUCCCACCCUGUGCCCCCAGGUUUCUUUGGGCUGAGCAUGGCUCGGCUGUUGGGGACCUGUGGCAGUAUCACUCCCUCCCAGCAGCAGCAUCACUGCCUGCAUGGCAUUGGGCUGACAGGUCAGUCUGAGUAGUGAUGGAGGGUUGGAAAGGCAGAAGAGGAUGAACUUCCACUUCCAAAUGGUGAAGUAACAGCAGAAAUGAGAGAUCUGUACGUGGAGACAACUAGCACAUGUUACCCAACAGCUGCAUUAAAAGGCAAAGACGAAAGCUCAUCAUGUGAAUAACCUGAUCAGACAGAGGGAGAAGUGCACUGAGUGGGCAUUCACAGGGAAUACGAUGGAUUUUACUUUCCCUUUCCCCCCUUUAUGUUGCAUAAAUGUUAUUGAGAGGAAUUAAAAACAGUGCUG
rnacentral:lncRNA from 1 species